UCUCCCGCCCUCCUGGGCAGCGCGGCUCCGGGCGCAUUCCUGCACCCUCCUCCCGCGCGCCGCGCUCCCUCCCCCGGACAGCUGAUUCAUUGGCUCGGCCGCCCAGACUGCCUGGCGCCGGCUGCGUGACGUCACCCAUUCACGGAGCCCGCCUCCCCCCUCCGCUGGCGCCGGCCGGGCGGUCGCCCUGACAACGCAGACGCCAGCCCGCACAAUGACUUCCAGCUGGAGCAGCCCAGCCAGCCUGCGCGCUCACUCGCUUGCUUUCGCCGGGCUUCAAAGCACCGGGAUUUUUUGCUUCAAAACAGCUGCAUUUUUGGAAGAAAGUCCACAACUGACAACUAAGCAAAACCCUCCUGGUGGAUAGCAUAAAUCUGCUUUGUUGAAGCUGCUCAUCUGUCUGAUCUGUGAGUCCAGAAGUUGCAAACUCCCUUCCCAGCUUAUGCAAAAAUACUUCCAGUAAAAACAAGCCCUUUGGCCCUUUUCUGCUGUCAGUCCACA